rnacentral:rRNA from 1 species
UUUAACUUUGCCGAGUGAAGAGGGACAAGCUCAAUUUUAAAUCUGUUGGGUUUACCUAACCGAGUUGUAAUUUGAAGAGGCGUUUUCUGUGUUUUUGAUCAGCCCAAGUCCUUUGGGAUAAGGCAUCAUGGAGGGUGAGAAUCCCGUCCGGUUGAUCAGAUUCGCUUUACGAUACGUCAUCUAAGAGUCAAGUUGUUUGGGAUUGCAGCUUAAAAUGGGAGGUAAAUUUCUCCUAAGGCUAAAUAACGGCGAGAGACCGAUAGCGAACAAGUACCGUGAGGGAAAGAUGAAAAGAACUUUGAAAAGAGAGUUAAACAGUACGUGAAAUUGUUGAAAGGGAAACGAUUGAAGCCAGUCAUACCGGCGGAUAAUCAGCCUUUCGGGUGCGAUUCUGUGGAGUGUGAGGAGUUAAACGCCUUCAUGCCUGCAUAUUCGUGCACCUUGGGUGUACUUGCCCGUGUGGUAAGUUAACAUCAAUUUUGAUCGUCAUAAAAUGGCUGGUGGAAUGUAGCUUCGGUCUCGUACUGAAGUGUUAUAGCCUCCGGUAGAUGUGAUGAUCGGGAUUGAGGAUUGCAACGGAUACCCUUCGGGGCU